rnacentral:rRNA from 1 species
UACGUAGGGGGCAAGCGUUAUCCGGAUUUAUUGGGCGUAAAGAGCUCGUAGGCGGCCGUUCGCGUCGGAUGUGAAAGCUCAGGGCUCAACUCUGAGAUGCCAUUCGAUACGGGACGGCUAGAGGUAGGUAGGGGAGAGUGGAAUUCCUGGUGUAGCGGUGAAAUGCGCAGAUAUCAGGAGGAACACCAAUUGCGAAGGCAGCUCGCUGGGACGUUACUGACGCUGAGACGCGAAAGCGUGGGGAGCAAACAGG